CUACUACUCCCUCCGUCCGAAAAUACUUGUCAUUGAAAUGGAUGUAUCUAGAUGUAUUUUAGUUCUAGACACAUCCAUUUUGAAGACAAGUAAUUCCGGACAGAGGGAGUAUUAU
rnacentral:pre_miRNA from 1 species